UACAGAGGUCUCAAGCGUUGUUCGGAUUCAUUGGGCGUAAAGGGUGCGUAGGCGGCGCGGUAAGUCGGGUGUGAAAUCUCGGGGCUUAACUCCGAAACUGCAUUCGAUACUGCCGUGAUUGAGGACUGGAGAGGAGACUGGAAUUUACGGUGUAGCGGUGAAAUGCGUAGAUAUCGUAAGGAAGACCAGUGGCGAAGGCGGGUCUCUGGCCCGGUACUGACGCUGAGGUGCGAAAGCGUGGGGAGCAAACAGG
rnacentral:rRNA from 1 species